GUUAGGAAUAUUGGACAAUGGGCGAAAGCCUGAUCCAGCCAUGCCGCGUGAACGAUGAAGGCCUUCGGGUUGUAAAGUUCUUUAGCCGAUGAUUAUAAUGACUGUAGUCGGAAAAUAAGCCCCGGCUAACUUCGUGCCAGCAGCCGCGGUAAUACGAAGGGGGCGAGCGUUAUUCGGAAUCACUGGGCGUAAAGCGUGCGUAGGCGGCUUUGCAAGUUGGGAGUGAAAGCCCAGGGCUCAACCCUGGAAUUGCGCUCAAAACUGCAAGGCUCGAAUUCGGGAGAGGAUAGCGGAAUUGUCAGUGUAGCAGUGAAAUGCGUAGAUAUUGACAGGAACACCAGUGGCGUAAGCGGCUAUCUGGACCGAUAUUGACGCUGAGGCACGAAAGCGUGGGGAUCAAACAGGAUUAGAUACCCUGGUAGUCC
rnacentral:rRNA from 1 species